rnacentral:lncRNA from 1 species
GAAAAACUCUAGGAGCCCCUAUCCUACAACCCUGAUUCUAGACCUCCAGACUUUCCUACCAAGGGUCAUGUUCUCGGAAACCUGCAUUCUAGACAUGUCGUGCCUAAUCACCUCUCCCGAAUACUUCUUAGGCCUCCUCUGCCUUGCCGACCGCCAACAAUCUCCAGCCGCUCGCAGCUCCUUACCAGGGCAUCGGGACUUCUCCUCCACACAUGCCCGAACCACCUCAGCCUCGCUUCUCGCAUCUUCUCAUCCAACGGGGCGACCCCCACCUUCUCUCGAAUAACUUCAUUCUUAAUCUUAUCUAGCCUGGUGUGCCCGCACAUCCACCUAAGCAUCCUCAUCC